rnacentral:piRNA from 1 species
UGUGUCACAUCUCUACCUACUUGACUCA